GAAAUCAUCCAAUUCUCGAUGUUGUACAUGACAAUCUAUUUAAACUUUUGAAUGCCCAUUUUGAUGAACGCUGUCCAGCCCCUGAACCAACUCUUUCACCCAAAGUUGAAGAAUAGCCUCCUCCUAAAAAAAGAGGUGCUAAGGCUGCCAAGAUAUCUAAGGUGCCAGAGACCUUAGAACAACGUCUUGUAGAAUCAGCAUGUCCAAUGGAAGUACUAAGAUUUUCAAUGGGUGAUACCAGAGGGGCUGAAAAGAGUGAACAAUAUUCACAAAUUUCUGGACAGAAGGUAUAUAUGAGAAGGUAUGAGAAUGUUGUAUCAAAUUACCAGGUUGAAACAUGUUUAGUACUUGCUCAUAAUUUUUCUGUAAUGCAAGCACGAUGAUCUGGAGAUGGUACAAGAUCCUGGAGAUGCAGAUGGUGUUAUUCUUUGGCGUGCCAACUUUGAUGAGUUUAUAAGAUGUCUUAGACAUAAGGGAAUGCCACGCCCCUUUACUUGCAUUCAUAUUAAUGAUGGGAAAGAAAAUCGGGCAUGACAAACGUGAGCCAUUUACUCACUUGAAACCUAUUGAUAGGGUACUUCUGCGUGCAACACUUUCAGGGAUAUUGAUAUUAUCAUUAUUAUUUUUCUAAUUUUAUAAUAUAUGUAAACCAAGGAAAAAAAGCACAACCUAAAAGCCUUACGGUGACCUAUGGGGACCCUGAGCCUACGAAGGAGGAAUCAAACAAAAUGCCCCGAUCUAAAAAAUGAGGAGAGAAGGAAUAUUACAAUAGGAUUUGUGUAAAGCACUCGAUUUAUUUGAGGUUGUAUACCGAAUGUGGUCACAAGUUGGUGGUUGAUACUUGGUAAUCAAGAACGGAGAGAAACGGUAUUUAAAAUCACAAGUUCUAUUAUUGCCUUAUUCAAAAUCAAAAUAUCUUGUUUUGUGUAGUGGGCAAGGAAAAACGACUAGGGGGAGAAGGAAGUAAUAAACUUUCUAGGGAGCUUAGAAAGCUUGACUGUUCGAUAAAUUAUGACAGGAAGAAAGCUUCUUGGGAAGCAGGGCAAGUUUUCUUACAAUUUUGCAAAUCAUUUCUUGGAAUGUCAGAGGUUAGUUAAAGAGCUGUUGGUGCAGGAGAACCCGAAUAUUGUUGUUUUGAUGGAGACCAAGAGAAACUUUUUUUGUUGUAGGAGGAUUUGUAGUAUUUGGAUAAGUAGGAAGGUUCGGUGGGAAAGCCUUGAUUUAGUUGGGACCUCGAGGGGAUUUUGAUUUUGUGGAAGACAAGUUUUUGUAUAGCAUGAGAAGUGAUUAGAGGUUUUUUCUCCCUUACGAUCUCGUUUCUCGAUUUGGAGGGGAAGGAGUUUUGGGUCACGGGGGUCUACAAACCUCCGAGGAUUUGUGGGAGGAAUGAUUUUUGGGAUGAAUUGGGGGAUCUUUAUGGUGUGUGUGGCCCUAGCUGGUGUGUGACUGGGGAUUUUAAUGUUGUUCGGUCUCUGGUAGAGAAAGCUUCAGGUGGUAGUAUCACUUGAUCCAUGAGAUCCUUAAAUAGCUUUAUAAAUGGGUGUAAACUUCUCCAUGGCUUAUUUUCCAAGAUAAUUGAAUCUUUGGAAUUUUUUUUUGAAAAAGGAAACGAGAUUCUUCAUUAAGAUAAUGAAAUGAGACAAUACAAAGUGAGAGUAAUAAUACAAUGAAAAGACAAAACUAAAGCCUAAGGAUCAACGAGUGCACUAAGACAUUUCAACUAGGUUGACACCUUUUUACCACUCUCAUCAUUUCCGAUACAAUCGAGACAAUCCAAAAACUAGGCUCCAAGAAUAAAUAGGAUCCGUUACAAACAAUAUAUGAUCAGGAACGAAACGGUACAGAACCCAUAAACUAAAACUAGAUGACUACAACAAAGUACAACCUGCAUUAAAAGACAAUUCUAACAGAAUAUACUAUAGUGGAGGGAAGAUGAAAGCCUUCCAAUUGAGACCGAUGUCUUGGAUGGAGAAGUCUUCGAAGGCUUUGGCAAGGUAGCACCAUGAAGAAGUGUUGAGCCGAGCAAUCUCGAAGCAGAUCAUCCAAGUCACUGGAGGUUGUUGGAGGUGGAAAUCAGAGUUGGCUCGUGGUGGUUGGCCGACGGUGGUCGUUGGAAGGUGGCGGCCGGAGUUGGUUGACGGCGAUUGUCGGAAGUGGUGUUCGGAGUCAUUCGUCAGCUUCAGGCUCGAUUCCAUCUGCCUCUUUCGAUUCACGUUAGUACUUAGUCCUUCGUUCAACAUUCAACCAUUUUGUUCAUUAGCUUCAGCGUUCAAUCAUUUCAUUUGUCAGCUUUAGCGUUCAGUCGUUCCAUUCUUCGGUCAUCUACUUUCGUCAUCAUUCAACUGUUGUUCAGCUUCAGGCUGUGGGUUUCUAGACUUCUUUCAAUCUCUUCUGAGUAUUCCACCAGAUAAUCACAAUGAGCCGCUCAAGAAACGAUUUAAUCGUUUAAGGAAUGUCAGAGGACUCCUGCAGCCGUCGCUGCUGAAGCUCAAAGAUUCUAGCAUUUUCAUGACUUGUAAAUGAUGUAGAUUAGUGGCAUUGAGGAGUGUAUGUGGAGGAAGCUUCUUUCGAACUUCAGAAGAAAAAUUGUGGGGUGGACAGUGAAACUGCAGAAACCAACAAAAUCGACAACCGCGAUUUAGUGCGGUUCCAUGUAAUACUGAAACUGAAUUAAUCGGUUCAGUUUGGUUUAAAUUUGUCACACACACACUAGACCUCUCAAUCUCGGCUCUCAAGUCCCGUCAGUCGUCAUCCUCCCCCUUCACAAUUCAUGGUGAGACGCUGAGACCCUCAUCAACACCUCCUCCAUACCUAUCCACGGUUCCACCUCCAUGGGCACGGGCCCACGACUCUUCGAACGUGGACACGAACGUCUCUCUCAAGUCUCAAGUCUCUCUUAGUCUCUCCCUUUGCUCGGUACCAUCACAAUUAACAACAAUUUCAAUGAUGAUGUUAUUGAGAUGCUUCCACCACCACAACAAGAUCGAAGUGGUGAGACGAUUUCAAAUACAGUCCCUCGAGCGGGGCUCUUUUUCUUCCGGGGAGGCAAAGUCGUCCCCUCUACUAAUCGAACCCCCUUUCUCUAAUAAGUCGGAGGUCUUCGUAAACAUGUUAAAGGGCUCCCAUCUUCGGUGGGUCCACCUUUCCAAGACUGAGAAAGCCAAACAUUUGGACAAAGCAAAGCUAAACAAAUCCAAACGAAUAAUAUACUAUGUUACUGGUCCAGACAUACAGCCUUCCUUACGGGGAGAGCUAUAAAGAGAAGACCGUUUCGUGCUUUUUGUGCAUUGGGGUACACCCAUAGGUGGUGCACGCCAUUUCAAAAAGAAGAAAGAGGAAAAAAUUGUCUAUGGUGUGGGUUCUGAAUAUAGUGAUAACAAUCCUCAUGUUAAACGUAAUUAUUAUGAUAAGGUGUAUGCAUGUCAUCUUAGAAGGAAUGGAAAUUCAACUAUGAAAAUGCAUUUUAAA